AUUUAUAUAGCGCCAUCACAUUCCGUAGCACUGUACAGUGGGUGUAUAACUUUGUACAGCGCUACGGAAUCUGAUGGCGCUAUAUAAAUAAUAAA